rnacentral:rRNA from 1 species
GAUGAACGCUGGCGGCGUGCCUAAUACAUGCAAGUCGAGCGAACAGACGAGGAGCUUGCUCCUCUGACGUUAGCGGCGGACGGGUGAGUAACACGUGGAUAACCUACCCAUAAGACUGGGAUAACUUCGGGAAACCGGAGCUAAUACCGGAUAAUAUAUUGAACCGCAUGGUUCAAUAGUGAAAGACGGUUUUGCUGUCACUUAUAGAUGGAUCCGCGCCGCAUUAGCUAGUUGGUAAGGUAACGGCUUACCAAGGCAACGAUGCGUAGCCGACCUGAGAGGGUGAUCGGCCACACUGGAACUGAGACACGGUCCAGACUCCUACGGGAGGCAGCAGUAGGGAAUCUUCCGCAAUGGGCGAAAGCUUGACGGAGCAACGCCGCGUGAGUGAUGAAGGUCUUCGGAUCGUAAAACUCUGUUAUUAGGGAAGAAAAAAUGUGUAAGUAACUAUGCACGUCUUGACGGUACCUAAUCAGAAAGCCACGGCUAACUACGUG